rnacentral:lncRNA from 1 species
GGAAAAACAAGCACUAAUUAGGAUAAAUGCAAGUUGUCAGGAGUCCGCCUGGAGAACAGAGACGUAUUUUUCAAGUUUGACGUCAGGAGUCCGCCUGGAGAACAGAGACGUAUUUUUCAAGUUUGACGUCAGGAGUCCGCCUGAAGAACGGAGACAUACAGUUUAAAUUUUAAAAGUCAGGAGUCCGCCUGAAGAACGGAGACAUACCGUUUAAAUUUUAAAAGUCAGGAGUCCGCUUGGAGAAUAGAGACAUUCAUUUCAAAUUUAGCAAUCAGGAGUCCGCCUGGAGAACAGAGACGUAUUUUUCAAGUUUGACGUCAGGAGUCCGCCUGAAGAACGGAGACAUACAGUUUAAAUUUUAAAGGUCAGGAGUCCGCCUGAAGAACGGAGACAUACAGUUUAAAUUUUAAAAGUCAGGAGUCCGCCUGGAGAAUAGAGACAUUCAUUUCAAAUUUAGCAAUCAGAAGUCCGCCUGGAGAACAGAGACGUACUUUUCAAGUUUGACGUCAGGAGUCCGCCUGAAGAACGGAGACAUACAGCUUAAAUUUUAAAAGUCAGGAGUCCGCCUGGAGAACAGAGACAUACUUUUCAAGUUUGGUGUAAGGAGUCCGCCUGAAGAACAGAGACACAUAGU